UAGAGUCUGGUGUAAUAUUGGUAGCACAAAGAAUUUUGAAUUCUUGGGGGCAGGUUCAACUCCUGCAACUCUAG
rnacentral:tRNA from 1 species